AAAACAGUUUUGCAACCCUCUUUCAUAACAUCUAACUGCUCUUUAGUUUGAAAACCAACAAUAAAUAGUUCUGCACUGUUUUUUAUGCAAUCAAAGUUAGGAUGCCCAACUACCACUGGUUUGCCCUGAGGUCUCUGAUUUGGGUCCCUAUUGCCCAGCUCACCAACAUCACCUCUCAAAAGCUCAAGAAUUUUUGCUGGCGCCAUACCAGUGAUCAAACAAGAUUGAAUAAAGUGUCUUGUGGUGAGCUGAACCCUAUGCAAAACAGUAUGGUGAAAAAUUAAAGGAUGGUUGAGCAUCAAAUUGGCAUGUAAAGUAGCGAUACUUAGAAGUGCCCUCUUCAUUGCACUUAGCUCCAUAAGGAGCUCUAAAGCAGGUCCAUGACUCUGCCUCAACUUCAUCCUUCCAAGCUGUAAACUCAGCCAUUGUUUUGAAUGACAUCUGCCUAAUUUUGAACUCCUUCUGAUGAUCCUUGAUAAGUGUAAAACCCUCGGCUGUGCACUCAACUUUCUUGUGACGGGAAAACUCUUGUUUGGUUGAGAACUGGUUGUGGCAUUUUUCGCAUUCUCUGGGGUAAACAACUUUUGGUCUCAUAGCAUUCAAUUCGGUGUCCCCACCACCAUUACACUUCUUUUUAUGCCGACAAAAUUGGACUUUGUUCUCUAAAACAAGCGCACACCUAUCACACUUCCUUGGGUACAUGGAAACUUUCUUCUCUUUAGUACAGCUCUUCUGAUGCUUAUAAUAACUCUGCCUAGUCGAAUACAUUUGACCGCACUCACACUGUCGAGGGUACUUGGAACCAGGUGGAAUCAAGUCAUCGUCUGAAGAGUCCUGAAGCUCUACGGACUCUUCCACUUCUGCUACAUCACUCCUAUUUAUUUCCUCGUUUUCCAUCUUGCCCUAUCAAUGUACUCAAGAUAUUAUAUUACUGACUAAUGCUUUAAAUAUUAACAAAGACUAGUUGAAGACUGUUUAGCGAUCGAAGGAAUCACUUGAAAACUGUGUUCCAUUGUUGAAGUAUGAAAUAUACAUACUAAAUUACCAAAACAAAAACUUUUUAUCAAUUCUAAUCCUUUUUCAUGCACACCUAUGGUUCGAAACUAACUAUUAAUUGUUGGAAAGUCAGCAUAGCAACAGAACAGGUGCACCUAGCCUAGACGCCUAACUGCUAUGGCGCAGCGGGGGGUCCCGACUCGUAUUUCACUUACUUUUUAUAACGCCCUGACCACAAAUUCCACAUGGAAUAAUACUUGAUGAAAUUAAGGGAGAAGGUUAGCUUUAAUGCCACAAAAGGAUACCAGAAGUCUUCUUCGAUCAGUAACGCGCCAAAUCGAACAGCCGAUCGGCUCAAUCCAGUGAACGGGCUGGGGUCAUUGACCUUAGUUUGGACAGCAGUGUUGCCGAUGACCGGCCAUCACCGGCUCGACAAUGGGGCAAUCAUAGUGUCCUACGUAAAGCAGUGUUCUCAGCCCGAAUUUGGCCAUGGAAAAGAUAUUCUUAGAGAAGGAAAAAUAAAACCUUCAUCCAUGAUGAAACAUAAGAAUCUUAUCAGGUUUACGUUCCAGUUUCUAAUUUAACCUGAGUGGGCGUGGCUUGGCAGGGAAGGAACCAAUGGGCGUGGCUUGGCAGGGAGGGAGCCAAUAGGCGUGGCUUUACAGAGAGCGGCAAAUUCAAAACAGUUUCUUCUCACUAGAUAGGUUGGGUGGGUACAUGGUGAGCAUUUUCUACUUCUCAUCAGGGCGUCGAAAUGUAAAAUGACCUAGAAAAUUAAUUAAAUCCAAGAAUGUUAGAGACCAUUACUUUCAGCUUUAUUUAAGAGUUAUUAGCACUCAUUUACAGAGGUUUUCACUCUCAUGAAGAGAUUGGCUUUCUGAUAUUAUUUGAGUUACAACACCCCAUUUUUAAAAAAUUCCAAAUUUGUGCAUUUUUACAAAUCCCUUUUGCUGACAUGCUCGCUAGACUCCUUUGUAUCCCCUCUGUGAAUUAAGGUGUGUUAAGAAACAAGUAGACUUUUCUAUUAAAAGAAAAUCAGGUUUGCUGUUGUACAGCGAGCAACAUGCCCCAAAAUAUGAUUUUUUCUCUCCAAAUUUCAAAAACAGCUGUCAUAAGUUUAGUUCGUUUUCACUUUCACCCACAAUAUAAUGUAAUUUUAAUUGUAAAACUGUAUUGGUAAACAUUUUGUGUCAGGUAUGAGGAAUGAAACAAUCUUUGCUUUAUGAUUCUAUUUAUUGAAAACUACAAGUAACAAACAAAAAUACUGAGUAUUUAGGGAAUUUAACAAAUCAUGAUAAAAACAAAUCUUUUCAUCUUGACGGGGAUUCACCACAAAGAUUGCUUUGCUGUGACCUCAAAUGCAGCAGGAGGGUAGCUUCGAAAAGUUUCAGAUUAGUACUGCCAAAAAACAAAAACUGAGUUAACAAACAUGUACUGUGAAAAGAAAAUGUACUAAAAGAAUUUUACUUCAUGAUCUCUCUGCAUUUACACAGGGUUGAGACUGUCAUCCAAACAAAGUUCACAUACUUCAAAAGGCUGAUGCACCUGAACAUUGUUUGGAGCCUGCAUUAAAAUUUGGAAAAACCGUGCAGCAAUUUAGGCUGCAUUUAGUUGUCGGCAAUAGUAUUUAUGGUUGGGUUACCACUAGCUACCAAUAAGUAAUCAGUUGGAAAUGAUCAAGCUGAGCAAGAUUGGAAGCUCUGCUAUUAAAAGGAUUCUCAUGUUGCCAAUAAGUAGGCAUGCAUAAGCAAAAAGAAAGCACCUGUUGGCCGUCACUAGUAAAGAAUUUCCAAAGGAAGGUGCACAAUUUACUGAAAACUUAUUGGCAAAAAAUAAGCAAAAUCCAGUAGAAAGAUCAUUAGGAGCUGUACCAAAUGGCUCUAGCUUUUCUAAUAAUCAAUCUCUCAGAAGAUUACUUAGAACAGUCAGAACAUACACAACAUGACCAGAGAGACUAAUUAAAUUAACAAUACCAAAUUUCCAAACAACCCACAAGCUACAACUGACUGGAUG